GUAUUGCACCAGAAGUAGGUAGCCUAACCGCAAGGGGGGCGCUUACCACGGUGUGGUUCAUGACUGGGGUGAAGUCGUAACAAGGUAGCCGUAGGUGAACCUGCAGAAGGAUCA
rnacentral:rRNA from 1 species